ensembl:lncRNA
CUUCUGUCCCAUAGAUCUCAGCCCCAUAGCACAGCCCUUCUGCCCCAUAGAUCUCAGCCCCAUAGAUCUCAGCCCCAUAGAUCUCUGCCCCAUAGCACAGCCCUUCAGCCCCAUAGACCUCAGCCCCAUAACACAGCCCUUCUGACCCAUAGAUCUCUGCCCCAUAGAUCUCUGCCCCAUAGCACAGCCCUUCUGCCCCAUAGAUCACAGCCCCAUAGCACAGCUCUUCUGCCCCAUAGAUCUCAGCCCCAUAGAUCUCAGCCCCAUAGAUCUCUGCCCCAUAGCACAGCCCUUCAGCCCCAUAGACGUCAGCCCCAUAGCACAGCCCUUCUGCCCCAUAGAUCGCAGCCCCAUAGAUCUCAGCCCCAUAGCUCUCAGCCCCACAGCACAGCCCUUCUGCCCCAUAGAUCGCAGCCCCAUAGAUCUCAGCCCCAUAGAUCUCAGCCCCAUAGCACACCAUCUCUGCCCCAUAGAUCUCAGCCCCACAGCACAGCCCUUCUGCCCCAUAGAUCUCAGCCCCACAGCACAGCCCUUCUGCCCCAUAGAUCUCAGCCCCAUAUAUCUCAGUCCCAUAGCACAGCCCUUCAGCCCCAUAGAUCUCAGCCCCACAGCACACCCUCUCUACCCCAUAGAUCACAGCCCCAUAGAUCUCAGCCCCAUAGACCUCAGACCCAUAGCACACCCUCUCUGCCCCAUAGAUCUCAGCCCCAUAGAUCUUAGCCCCAUAGCACAGCCCUUCUGUCCCAUAGAUCUCAGCCCCAUAGCACAGCCCUUCUGCCCCAUAGAUCUC